rnacentral:rRNA from 1 species
UGAGUAACCUGCCCUUAACUCUGGGAUAAGCCUGGGAAACUGGGUCUAAUACCGGAUAUGACUCCUCAUCGCAUGGGUGGGGGGUGGAAAGCUUUAUUGUGGUUUUGGAUGGACUCGCGGCCUAUCAGCUUGUUGGUGAGGUAAUGGCUCACCAAGGCAACGAUGCGUAGCCGACCUGAGGAGGGUNAUCGGCCACAUUGGAACUGAGACACGGUCCAGACUCCGUACGGGGAGCAG